rnacentral:piRNA from 1 species
UAGAAACAAGGGUGGGGGAGGCAA